GGCAGGAUGGCCGAGCGGUCUAAGGCGCUGGUUUAAGGCUUCGGUGGCGCGAGUUCGAAUCUCGCUCCUGUCA